rnacentral:rRNA from 1 species
UACCAGCACCCCGAGUGGUCGGGACGAUUAUUGGGCCUAAAGCAUCCGUAGCCGGUUCUACAAGUCUUCCGUUAAAUCCACCUGCUUAACAGAUGGGCUGCGGAGGAUACUAUGGAGCUAGGAGGCAGGAGAGGCAAGCGGUACUCAGUGGGUAGGGGUAAAAUCCGUUGAUCCAUUGAAGACCACCAGUGGCGAAGGCGGCUUGCCAGAAUGCGCUCGACGGUGAGGGAUGAAAGCUGGGGGAGCAAACCGG